GUCCCUGGGUUGUCCUUUGCAUGCAUGCUUGGAUCUCCUCAAACCCAGUCUCAGAAGGAGCAUGCAGGACAAACAGCUGAGACAAGUUGAAGAUUCCUCAAACAAGGAGGACAAGUAGUUCUGGUGUGAAACUACAGAGGCAAUCAAAAGUGGGUAUUCGGAAAGAUGAAGGACAGAACUGGACCACUCUCCUUCACAGUGGAGAUAGCAUCUGAUAUCAUCUAGAGACGAUACGUCAAUCAGCUGAGAAGAACAGAGACAAUUGUUAGAGAAGAAAGGUAGCUAUCACUGUCAGAACCGCUUCUUGCAAUAUCAGAGUCAACUCCUACAACCACCAUGAGAAGAGCCCAGAGCACGAGACUGUUUCACAGCCACAAGUCUCACCUGCCAAGCAGAGUGAUCCCCGUUGUCAGGAGAGAUGUUAUCCCACAAGGCACAAACUCUUCUUGGGCUUUCAGCGGGCCCAGGUGUCGAUUUUAACCGAAGUUUCGAUGACAAUCUCCACCUACAGGGUUGUCUUUGAUGCAAAUCAGGAAAUUGCACUGAAUGUAGUCUGACUUGGGAAAUAAAAUAGAAGCUGCAAGCAAAAUAGAAAAGGUAAAAUAUUUUUUCUCCUCCCUCAUUUUGAAUAAAGAAAACAUAAAACAGAUUUCAAAGUAACUUUGGUUCAAGAGCCUGAUGUUUGAGGGGUAAUAACUGUUCUUGAACCUGGUUGUGAGUGUCCUGAGGCUGUUGUGCCUUUGUCCUGAUGGCAGUAGUGAGAAGCGAGCAUGGCCUGGGUGGUGGGGGUCUCUGACGGUGGAUGCUGCUGUGACAAUGCUCCAUGUAGAUGUACUCAAUGUACUUUACCCAUGCUGAACUGGGCUGUAUUCACUACUUUUUGUAUGCACUUUUGUACAAGGGCACUGGUGUUUCCAUACAAGGCCAUGAUGUAACCAACAAAAAUACUCUCCGCCACAUAUAGAGUCAUGGAGUCAUAAAAAGUACAACAGAGAAACAGGCCCUUCGGCCCAUUUAGUCCAUGCCAAACUAUCUAAACUGUCUACUCCCAUUGACCUUCACUGGGACCAUAGCCAUCCAUAUCCCUACCAUCAUAUACCUAUCCAAACUUCUCUGAAAUGUUGAAAUCGAGCUCACAUGCACCAUUUGUGCUGGCAACUCAUUCCACACUCUAAUGACUCUAUGAGUGAAGUUUGCCCUCAUCUUCCCCUUCAACUUUUUUCCUUUCACCCUUAACCAAUGACCUUUGGUUGUAGUCCCACUCAACCUCAGUGGAAACAGCCUGCUUACACUUACACUA